rnacentral:rRNA from 1 species
UACGUAGGUGGCAAGCGUUGUCCGGAAUUACUGGGCGUAAAGCGCGCGCAGGCGGCCUUUUAAGUCUGACGGUGAAAUGCCGGGGCUCAACCCCGUGCCCGCCGCGGAUACUGGGAGGCUGGAGACAUGUAGAGGCAAGCGGAAUUCCGGGUGUAGCGGUGGAAUGCGUAGAGAUCCGGAAGAACACCGGAGGCGAAGGCGGCUUGCUGGGCAUGGUCUGACGCUGAGGCGCGAAAGCGUGGGGAGCGAACAGG